ACAAGCCAUCGAUCUUUGCAAAUGGAUCCCAGUACAAAAAAGUUUGAGAACCAGUCCUCUAAGGGUGGCUGUGAUACCUACUAGUGGCUGUCUUAAUCCUGCUCAGCUCACCCAUUCUAGCUUCUCAGGAUCUCACCCUGCGUCCUCAACUGCCAUGCUUUAAUGUUAAAUGUUAAUGGGGGGGACUCCCCUCAGGCUGGUGAGGUCCAAGUGCUCUCUUUAUACUUGGUUCUUCUCUUGGGCUCAGCUUGGUCCACCCAAUUUGUUGUUUGACCCCUGCCACCCACAUGCUCUUGGCCUUGGGGCUUCCAAGCCUACAGGCCCCAGUAGCUUUAAAGGUUAAAUAUGUAACCUCUUUCCUCCCCUAUAGCCACACCUAUGCCUCAUGAACAUUAUUUUUUUACCAUUCUUUGCCUCUGUAGGGGCCUCAGCCCUCUAGGCUUUAGUCCACCAUUAUUCUGGUCACAGACCUCCAGCCCUGGCCCCUUGGCCCUGUCUCGGUUUUAACCCAACCCCCUGGCCCAGGCAGGGCUGCUUUCACUUUGUACUUGUCCCUGGCCCUUUAACUGGGCUCAUCCCCCUGAUUCCCUGACUCUGCAGGGCUGCUAUCCCCAGCCUCUAAGCAGUUUAGGGUUCAGCCCCACGCAGCCCACUUGGUCCUAGACCCUGGAAGGGCGCUAUACCAGGUGCCUCUAGGCAUCCUAUAGCCUCUUAUCCACCCCUUUAGCCACAUCCAGUCCUCCAGUGCUCUUCCAGCUACAAACAAACCCCUUCUGGGUCUCCCUGGGUCCCAGCCACCUCCUACCCUUUGGUUACUGGAUCUUUGGCAGCUCCUUAGGUACCUGGUUGGUUGAGUUCCCCUCUGUUAUAGCUCAGCCCCAUGGGAGUUCUGCUUGCAAGACAAUACAGGACUAGUCUAAGCCAUCUGGUUCAGGAGCCAGGCUUUUAAUGGGCUAGGGAUCUACCCUCUCUGGUCACAUGGCUCAGCCCUAAGCUUACUCUCAGGUGUUGCACCUUAAGUUCAGAGCCACAGCCACUGCCUUCUUCCCUGAUGCUCUUUAAUGCCUUAUGGGUUUUCCUGGCCACAUGUUGUUCUGUAGCUGCUGUUUUCCCAGCUGACUACAGCCCUUUGGUAUUGGCUUCUUACCUAGGGAUUAGGGAUCCCUGCUACAAAUGAUCUCGGGUAACACACUCACAGGCACAGGCCUUGGCCUGACUACAUGUGGGCCUGCUUGCUGCCGUCUUAACUGCCUUCAUAACAGAGGCAGGUGAGGCCUCAGGAAAAAAUGCAUCCCAGCCUACAGGGGGGAUGAGCCCCUGGACCAAUCACCCUGCUGCAGAAUCCUGGAGCAGUUCCAGGAAGGAAGCCAGCCUGGCCACAUGCUCUCAGUAGACCCCUCACCCUCUGAAUGCUUCUGUCCACAGCCAAGGCCCUCCAGACUUGGGAUGGCACUUCUUCCCUUAGGACAGCUAUCCCAAGCCAUUUAGUUUCAGCCCUUGCCUAAGUUCUCUGGAAAGUCUCCUCGCUUCACAACCAAAGAGACACAUGAACAACCAUGUGACCUACCACGCACUUGAUCAUACGCCGCACAAUACACAGGUAACUCAUGAGACUUACAAACAACUCUAGACUCACACAUCCAGACUCACAAGACCACUCUCACACCUCUCAGAGAUCCAGUCUCACACCUCUGCUCAGAUGCUGACUCUUUUUAAGUGGCCCAAUCAUACCACUACUGUCAAUCAUCUGUCCAUCCAAUUAGUCUUUUAGAAGAGCUAUCAAUCACCUAUCAGUUAUCAAGCACACCAAACAUACCUCUUAUCACCUCAGGUUAGAUGUAUCAAUUUCUGAUGGCUUCAUAUCAAUGUUGGCGUGAAUACAAUUAUAUAAUCAACAGCCAAUCUGCACAUGCUCUCCAUCCCAGAACUAGGUCAUUACCUCACAAAGGUCUAAAAGUCAUCUUUUCUGGAAUCUUCUGGGUACUGGACAUACUAGGCAUGUGCAACCUUACUCUGUUUACUUAGCCACAGCUCUAGUGACAUAAGUUAUGUACUCUCACUAGGCAGGCCCAGGGAUACAUCACCCAGGGACUACAGGGGAGGGCAGGGGAGAUAGGCUGCCCAUGGCCAGCAUUCAACAGCCUGCUGGCCCUUGAGGAAUGAGUGGGAAUGGAGGGCUUCGCCAGUCGCUGCCUGGGCCCAGGCCUUCCUGGCCAAGUUACCAUGGUCCCUACAUACCCAAGCACACACAUCCCAAUCUGGGCAGUGCAUGGGCCCCUGGAACAGGGCAUCUUAUCUGAGAAAUGUUGCAAACUCUCACAAACAACUUCUUUUUCAUGGCUUUGCAGGCCCUGCAAUGUACACAGGGGAGAGGCCACAGUUGGCAGCUGGGAUGUGCCAGCUCUGCAGGAGGAGGACCCAAGACCAAAGCUGGUGAUGGCUGCAGAGGACUAGCUAGCAAAGCACAGACCCGGUGGGCAGAGGACGUCAUCCACCAGAACAGGUGGUGGGCGGAGGACAUUGCCUGCGAGAACACAUGGCACUAGGCAGACCAGGAAUUCAGGAUGCAUCUCCUAGCCCUGAAGCAGGAGCUUAUGGAGGCCCUGCAGCAGCAGGCUGCACUUGUGGCCAGGGCAGUGAGUGUGGUGCUGGGGGGUGGGCAGUGUAACGCCGCAUGAGACAAGGGAGGAGUGGGUAAUUGGGGUCCCCAGUGAAGAGAGGCAGAAUUACCGUGGCACCCAGCUAGAGGUCUGGCACCCCUGGUGCCAAGUGCCCACUCUGCACCAGGGCUGGCAGGCCAGAGUUCCCGAAGACAUGGGCAUCAUGGGCACUGCCUGUCCUGCCGGAAGUCACAUUGGUAAAGAUCCCAUGGUGGUUGAUGAAGGUCUGGAGCACAAUGGAGUGAAAGGUCCUCUGGCUGUAGUAGGGGCAGUCACUAUGGGGUGGGCAGGUGAUGGGGAUAUGGGUCCCAUCCAGGGCCCCAAAGCACUGAGGGAAUCGCAGGGCAUGGAACACCCCCACUACCUCCAGAGGGUUGCGCACCCAGAGCACUGUGUGACGCAGUACAUCCUGGAAGGCAGCAUUCACCUGCAGGAUGGCCUCCCUGGUGGUGGCUUUGCCCAUGUAGCAGAUGCUGGUGGGUGUGGCCAGCUUCAGCAGGGUGAUGGCCAGCUGGGUGUCUGCGGGGAGGGGCUGCCCCAUGGUGGUGUCCUGCUGCUUCAGGUGUGGAUGGAGCUGCUUCAGGAGGUCCAGAAAAAUGUAAAAUGUACACCAUGCACUUCUGUACAUACCCUGAAGUGCUGUUAAACUGCUACCGGAAGGUAAUUGAUGAAUGGUUUAGAAGGAAGUGUUCUUUAAAAGUUAUGAAAGCUCUUACAGUCCCAGAGCACCCAGCUCCUGGGAGCCCACAAUUAGACAUCUAGGCAGCACCCCCACACACACACAUCUGAAACCCCCAAUCACCACACUGAUUUUGUAAAGUGCAGGAACGGUCUUCGCUGAACUCAAUGAGAAAGAGAUCAGAAAUUUACAAUUUCAGGCACUUGAUGUCUUCUUCUGCCUCUUCCUUGGUUUCCAGCCAUUUGGUGUCCUCCUCCCCUACUCAGGGCUGAGACAAACACCAUCCUGUGGUCCCGCUCAGCCACAUAGCAGGGAAACUGAGACACUCACCACUGUGAGGCCUGGGUACUCACAGUAGCAGUUUGACCUCCUGGUAGCAGUUUAACAGCAGUUCAGGGUAUAUACAGAAGUGCCCCAUGCACAUUUUACAGUGCUACAAUUUAAAGCACAUUUUUAGCACUAUGAGGUUACAGUGUUCUUAAACUUGACAGAAGUACAGUGUUUGGGAGAGGAGAGAAAGGGUUGGGGCAGUGAGAGGCACACUCCUUGGGCUUCUGCAGCCUCCUGGGGCUUCUCCACUGGUCAGAAAUUUGACCAGUGUACAGAAGUUAUUUAAAGCACUAUAGGUUGCUAUAGUGCUGUAAAAUACAGUGCUUCAAAUUUAAUACUUCAUUUAACAAGGGUUAAUUUAGAGCACUGUACCCAUUUUUAACGUGCUACAAAGUCAUGCACUUCUGUUACAUCACAGCAAUGAAGUGCUUUAAAUGGCAAAAAAGCAACUUCUGUAUACAUCUUCAGUGCCUGAAAGGUGACUAUUCUACUUGGAACCCUUGGCAGUGUACAUUGUAACAAGGGCACCUAAUCUCUGUUAUUUAGUAGAGAGGUGUGGCAGAGCACAGGUUGUGCCUGCCACUUUAAGGGGUCUGAGCAGACAGGAAGCAGCCUACAGGUGUGAGCAGGCCCAAUCAGGCAGUCAAAUAUUAGGCUGGAGGCUGCCUGAUUGGUGGAGAGGCUGAGAACCUGGGCAUAAGGCUAGGCCCCAAAAGCAGAACUGGCAGUUGCUGCAUGGGGCUGAAGAAACAACAUCAUCCAGCUGGAGAUCUGCUGCUCCCAGAACAACCUGGAGGUUCAGAGUAGGAACUAUGGGGAUGGAGGAGGUUCCUGGUCCUGGGCCAUGACCUGAAACUACACCCUUCUGGGGAGCAUGGUGUGGUGGAGCUGCUUGUGGCAGGGCAGUCUCCAGGAAAUGCCACACCUGUGCCUAACCAAUGAAAGGUGAGGAUGGGGUGUCAGAAAGCCUCAGCCCCUGCUGCCUUGUGGGUGAUCCCAAGGAGGGGAAGGGCUAGGGGAGCACACCCCAACAGAAAAGCACAGGGCCAAGGCCCACUGAGUGGGGCCUUAUGCAGGGUCCAGGCUAGGAGAAGAGGGUCCUGAGACAGGGUCCAGGCCCACUGAGCAAAGCCUGAGGCCCAAGGGGCAUUUGGCCCAGAAGCCCAGUGAGGGAGCUGGGUGUUGAGGCUCCAGUGUGGGGGCAUAGGGGCCCAGGUAGCUCUGAGGAUGCCUGAGGCCAAAUUUGGGCCAGGUCAGACUGAGUGUGGCCUAGAUAAGUAGCUGGGGGAGUUGUGGAUAUGGAUGCCAUCUGCGAGGCAUGGGACACAGUAUAAAGGGAGGUUCUGGGCUGUGUAUUUGCCCUUGGCAUCAGGGCAAUUAAAUAGGCAGUGUAACUUAAAUGAACAAAUUAAGUUACAUCAAAGGCAUGGCAGGCGAGGCAGGUGGGCAGACUUCCCUGGAUAAGAGGGCAGGCCAAUGUCUGGACCAGCCCCAGGAUGGCCCGCUUGUUAUAAGAGGCUGCAGAGGGGAAAAUAUUAUUUGUGGGGGCUGAGCCCUGCCUGAUUCCUGCCCCUCCCUCCCACAGGACCGUUGUGGGGCCGGCAUGUGCUGGUGCUGUAUGCAGCGGUGGAGGAGCAGCUGCACACCGAGCAGAGCUAGGCGCUGCAGGAUGGCAGCGCCAUGGUGCUGCUUCUGUCGCUGGUUGCCACAAAAAGUUUGGGGAACUAAGAUGUUAGCACCACUGUCUCCCAGAUACUGCUAAGGAACUGUUAAAGCACAAUUAACCCUUAAAUGAAACAUGAAAUAUGAACACAGACAACUAGGUAUUCUAAUAUUAUAAAAGUCUAAGUCUGUCUGUCUGAUGGAAACAGACAAUCAGAGUGCUCCAAAUGUGGGGGAGCAUUGCUGUGAUUCCAAAGCUACGCCGAAGACCAGACAGAGGGUGGAGGAGCCGAGGCCAGCAGUUUUGGCCUCAGCUCCCCUACCUGCAAGAGGCAGAACAGCGGCAGCAUGGGGCAUUAGGUGGUGGCACUCCAUCCCAGCCCCCUCCACCCCCCGUCAUUCUUGAUGAGCAAAUGGCUAGUCCUAAAGUAAAAGUCUAACUUUAUUAGUACAAGUACUAUCUUAGCAGUUUCUAUAUUCAGAGAGAUAAAAAUCUUCAGUAGAAUAACGUCACCCAAUCCCAGAUGUUACUUUGCUUAACAGAAAAGGUGGCUACUCAGUUCCUGAAGCAAAGGAUACGUCAUUGGCUGGGGCAGUCCAGACAGGUAUUGGAGGCUGGAUUUAUGAUGACAAUAAUGACAAUAACACACACUUCAUUUUCUUGCUGCCCCCUUUUAUGCUUUUCUUUAACUUUACUCCUUUGAUAACUCCUUGCUUUUGGGUUGAUCUCUCUGCAGUCAACAUAUUGCCCAUAUUUUAUUCUGUCAGCAUAUUCCUUUGUUCAACAGACCCAUCAUGAGCACACCUCUUAAUUUGGCCUUUUUCCAGUGUCUUUCUUGGGGCAUUGUCCAUCGGUCUCACUUAUCACCUUUCAUUAACGUAUCCAAUCAUUUCAUCCCUCUGAUUCAGCCAGUUAGUGCCAAGUUCAGUUCAUCUGAGCUGGCACUAAAACUAUUACUAUGUUGUGUUAGAAAAAUUUCUCACAGUGAUAGAAAAGAAAAGAAACAUCAUGAGACCAAACUCAAGGCCAUAAGCUCCUUGCAAGAGGCAAGCCCAGCUGAUAUUGUACAAAAGUUCAGAUAACAAUGAGGCUAUACAAAACUUAAGCAAUGAUUAAAUAAGGCUAAAUAUAAAAGAAAACUUUAAACAAUGCUGUAAUUCCCCACUCUAUAAACAGGUGCAACUUUAAAGCAUAAAAUAUGACAAGCUACCUUUACAAAGCUCUGUUAGCCCUGGCCUUCCGCCACCUAUGCUAGGCACCCCAUCUCACCCUUAUAACCUCAGCUGGACUGCAGGCUCCCUUGGUACUGUUCCCUGUGUGUCUUGUACUGCUCUGCCCUCUAGGGCAGGGGAAGGGGCAGAAUGGAAAAGGCAGGGGGAGGGGAGGCUGAAGUCCCUGGCUGCUGCUAAAGCUGAUGCAGUGGGGGGAUGGGCAACUGGGUGGGAGCCUGAGGGCUGUUAAUUAACAUCAUGGGGGCUGCCAACUGGACAGUCCUGACAUAAGGUAAUCUGAGGGCUGCCUCCCAAAUCUAUUAUCAACACCAAGACAUAGCAGUCAAAGACAAGGCAGUACCCUGAUCAGCUGGAGUGCAAAAUGACCCUAGGUGGCCACUGGAGUUGGAGGGGUCAGGAGACAGAGCUUGUAACAGUGCUGGACACCUCUAAACCAGGACAGUUGUGAAUGUGUUUUCAAAUAGUGACAGUCUUGGAAUGGUUCAAGUAUUAUGACUGCUUACACUCUCUGUGACAGAUAUAGGCUGAGAAAGAGGCACCAUCCUGUGGCCCUGCUCAGCUCAUAUGCACUGCUACCAUUGUGUACGGAGGCUUCCCCAGAGCUGACCACAUACCUAGCCAAAAACUUCAGGGAUCAGCUAGAUGUGAAUUUCCUUCUCCUGUUCCUCCUCCACAUGCUGUCUCCUAUUACUCCUAUACCAUGCUUGGUGGAGUUGGCCCACUGGUGCAGCAUCCUUUUCCUCCUCAGUCUCUUCUAGGGUCAACUCUUGAUCUGGCUUAGUCUCUGGACUACCCUCCUCUUCUCUUCAGUGGCUUCAUCCUCUAUUCCCUCAGCUAUGUCCAGCCCUUCAGGUAGAGGACUUAAACAUUGUAUGGCAAAGUUGUGGAGAACUUGACACACUAUAGAAGCCAGUUCAUCUUCUCAGGGCCAUGCUUCAGUGUGCCACUAGACUUCUGAGGCCAUUGGUACACUCAGUAAUGGAUCUGGUGCUCUUGUAAGCACAGUUAUAGCACCUCUAUUGCAGACAUGUUAAAUGCUUUUCUUCUCCCCACUCAUCAAAACGUUAAAUCCAGAGACGUUUUGGGUGUCUUCCAGAGGACUGAGAUGUUUUUGAUUUAAGUUGCAUUGGUGGUUUAGCCUCCAGCCCUGCUGAGGGCAGGUUCAAGGCCUACUCAGAAAGCCAGUAGCCCAAAGAGGGACUAAGAUCAGGACCAGAGGGUCAGUAAGUCCAGUAAGCUCUUACAGCUGCUCUAAUUAAAGUGAAUGCCUGAAGCACAUGUAAAAACACCCUCAAAGAUGAUAGCCAAUGGCUCUGGAAUGACCUCGGCCAAAUUCUUGAAUGCUCUAGGGUGCGUGUCCAACCCUGCCAACUUGAAAACAUCAAGGUUCUCUAACUAAUCCUAACAUGUUCUUCUUCUACUCUAGAUUAAUCCUUCCCUGUCCUUGAUGCCAACUGCACUUCUCAUCUGGCAUUUUUCAUGAAGACUGAACUGAAAAAGGUGCUGGAUUUUAAUGCCUCAUGAGUUACCAAAGUCUGAUUUCUUAACUCAUUCAUCUUCUCUGUAAGGGAAGUAGUGACUGAGAUUUAAUUGUUAAGUUAAAUGGCAUUGCCAUCUGUGCACUAAUUCCUACUGCUUAUCUGUCGUCUUACAUACCACCAGAAUGUUAUGCGCAGACUGCACUACCUUUUUUGUCUGCAAAAAUGUUUCAUUUCCUAACAUUUCCUGAUUGUGGUGUGAUCAUGGGGGAAUCACCAUAACAUACAGUUCAACCAUAUUGGGCACCUAUACGCAUGCAGUGAGGCUGCUCUGACAAACUGUAAUUACAGCAGGUUGGAGCAUACCCAAUAUCAUGCUCCAGCAUCAUGUGAUCAGCGUCUCUGCACUGAAAUUCGAGGAGCUUUAAAGCACUCCCACCACCAUUUUUCAGUGCGUGGACACUGAUACACGUGAUGCUCCAGGCACUUUAUAAUUAGAGUGGCUCUUGGAGCUGCUCUAAUUAACCUCCCCUCUUCCCUGUCACCCCCAACUCCCAGAGCAUGAGUAUAAAUGCCCAUUGAGUCCCUUGAAACACAAAAGCUGUGCAGUACUGAGACUCAGGACUCAAAGACAAAUGCCAAUAAACAUACUGGUGUUAGAAA